rnacentral:rRNA from 1 species
GAUGAACGCUGGCGGCGUGCCUAAUACAUGCCAGUCGAGCGAACGGACGAGAAGCUUGCUUCUCUGAUGUUAGCGGCGGACGGGUGAGUAACACGUGGAUAACCUACCUAUAAGACUGGGAUAACUUCGGGAAACCGUAGCUAAUACCGGAUAAUAUUUUGAACCGCAUGGUUCAAAAGUGAAAGACGGUCUUGCUGUCACUUAUAGAUGGAUCCGCGCUGCAUUAGCUAGUUGGUAAGGUAACGGCUUACCAAGGCAACGAUGCAUAGCCGACCUGAGGGGGGGAUGGGCCACCCUGGAACUGGGACCCGGUCCAGACCCCUACGGGAGGCAGAAGGAGGGAAUCUUCCGGAAGGGGCGAAAGCCUGACGGAGCAACGCCGCGGGAGUGAUGAAGGUCUUCGGAUCGUAAAACUUUUUUAUUAGGGAAAAACAUAUUGGUAAGUAACUGUGCACACCUGGACGGUACCUAAUCAGAAAGCCACGGCAAAUUACGG